AUACGUAGGUGGCAAGCGUUGUCCGGAAUUAUUGGGCGUAAAGCGCGCGCAGGUGGUUGCUUAAGUCUGAUGUGAAAGCCCCCGGCUCAACCGGGGAGGGUCAUUGGAAACUGGGGAACUUGAGUGCAGAAGAGGAUAGUGGAAUUCCAAGUGUAGCGGUGAAAUGCGUAGAGAUUUGGAGGAACACCAGUGGCGAAGGCGACUGUCUGGUCUGUAACUGACACUGAGGCGGGAAAGCGUGGGGAGCAAACAGGAUUAGAUUCCCUGGUAGUCCACGCCGUAAACGAUGAGUGCUAAGUGUUGGGGGGUUUCCGCCCCUCAGUGCUGCAGCUAACGCAUUAAGCACUCCGCCUGGGGAGUACGGUCGCAAGACUGAAACUCAAAUGAAUUGACGGGG
rnacentral:rRNA from 1 species